AUUAUUUAUUUUUAUUAUGAGAGUUCCUUAUUAUCAUUACUAGGAUAAAUUUAACUUAACAUGUUGUUGUCCAAAAUUAAAAUAAACUAAUAUAGUAUUUGUAUCGGUAAGAACUAAAAAGACAUACAUACAAGUAUGAAAAAUGUGAAAUAAUAUAUAAACACUUGUGAUUCAUCAUUAUUCCUCCACGAGUAGAUAAUGGUUACACUUACAUUAUCGUUUAGAUUUUUAAAAUCUUCCAAACCUUCACGAAUAAUGUUUUUUAUUUAAGGGAAAAAUUAAUAAUAAUUAUUGUAGAAGUGUACAAAAUGUUAAAAAAAUAUACAAUCACUCAUAGUGACAAACCUUACAACUUUCAUGAAAGGGUCAGCUUCGAAAUCCAACACUAUAAUUCAUAAACCUUAAAUUUAUAUUUAACUGUUAAUUGUUAUUUAUGCUUUAUUCUUCUUACUGAAUUUCAUUUUUAAAAUUUUAUUUUUUUGAAAACAUGAUCAUCUGGCGGAUGUAAGAAGAUGAACGGUUCAGAUCUUUGAUAUCACGUUUUGAUAUUUACGGUUAACUGAAAUAUGAUUCGAUGUCAUAUAGUUUGUAGAAACUUUAUAAACAUCAAACAAUAUUUUCGCUAACCGUAAAACUCUGAAUAUAAUAUUAACGAUCCAAACCGUUUAUCUUCCUGCAUCCUCUAAUAGAUCAAGUUUUCAAAAAAAAAAAUCUGAAAAAACAAAAUUUGAUGAGAACAAUGAAGCGUAAAUGUAAACAACAAUCAACGGUUAAAUUUUGAUUUAUGAUUUAUAUGAUUAUAGUGACGAAUUUCGAAGUUAAGCUCUUCAUGAAAGUUGUAAAGCUUGUCAUUACGAGCGUUCAUAUAUAUUUUUUCUAUAUUUGUUUACACUUCUACAUUAAUUAAAAAAAACUAUUAAAGACUUUAGGUAAGUGAAAUAUACUUUAAAAAAAUGCGUUUUUAUGUUUUGGAUGUGACAAUAUGAUAUGUAUAUACUUAUUUAAUAUUAUGUUUUUCAUUUGAUUAUUUAUUGGUUUAAAAUAUAUUUUCCUUAACGGGUAACGGGUCGGGUCAUAUUACCUGUUAAUAUUAUCGGAUCGAUUUCGGGUCUGGUCAUUUUACCCUUUUAUUUUAACGGGUAUUACACGACACGACCCAUUAAGAUAUCGGGUAUGACACGAAAACGACACGAACACGAAAAACACGACACGAAUGUCAGGUCUAAGUGGGACUAUAUACAAAAAAUAUAAAUCUAUUAUUGGUUAUUUUGAAAAUAGAAAUCAUAACUAGUGAAAGUGACUUAGGAUUAGAUAAGUUGUUCGGAUCGAUAAAUUUCGACGUAAAUUGUGAUUUCUUGUGUGAAUGAUGUUUUAUGCAGUGAAUAGUGUAUUUUGGAGUGUUGAAUUACAUUUUCUAUCUAGGAUACCAUUAUGAAAAAAAGGGCAAGUUUGUUAAGUCUCGUCCUUUUAUCAUGAUCUGAAAUGGAUUUCGGGUGUUCGAGAUGUUUCGUGGAUUAGAAUAGAUUUUUGUUAUUUUGGGUAUUUUGUACUUUCACAGAUUAUCACAUUUUAUUGUUAGAGUUUCGUGAAACUAUGUUAUCUUUUCAUUAUAUAUAAAAGAGUUUUUUUUUCUCAAUUUUUUGGUAUUCUAAAAAGUUAAGAGCAACUCCACUUAUGAAGCACUCCUCCGUAGUAAUCCAUUAUUCAAUUCACCCUAUUAAACAGUAACGGCCUUUAAUGAAUAGUAAUUGUCAUUAAUAAACAGUAAAUUGCUAUUUGCAUCUCCACCCUUGAAGCCCUCCUCUCUGACAAUAGGUAAUAAAAUAUUAUUAUUUUUUGUUUGUUUAAAUAAUACAAAAUAAAAUUAUUUGUAAUUUCGGAUAAGAAUUUUUAAAUCGUUAUCGUUGCGCCACGUGUCAUUGUGGUGUAAGGUAGAUGGAGAAUAACUGGUAUUUAUAGAAAAGUAAAAAGAAUUUUUUACAAAUUUUUUCAGGAUUUUUUUUCAGAUUUUUUACAAUUUUUUUUCGGAUUUUUUACAUUUUUAAAAAAAUAAUUAUUCAAAUAAUUAAUCUCUGCCGUUGGAUUUAAAAAAAAUUGAAUUCCAACACUCCAGAUUGUGCCACGUGUCACAACGGUAACUUUUCUUAAUUUUAAAACUAUUUUUUCUUUUUAUUACCCUUGCAUCGGACGGCUGGUAUUUAAACCUUUUGGGAUCGAACGGACCGUGGGAAGCCA
rnacentral:lncRNA from 1 species